rnacentral:rRNA from 1 species
UCGAUUAGUUUGAUCAUGGCUCAGCCUGAACGCUGGCGGCGUGGUUAAGACAUGCAAGUCGCACGGUGCCGUAGCAAUACGGCACAGUGGCGAACGGGUGAGUAAUGUAUCGCUAACGUGCCCCGGACUCCGGGAUAGCCGCCCGAAAGGGCGGGUAAUACCGGUUGACGUGACGCCCAGGCAUCUGGGUGUUCCCAAAGGUCCGCCGGUCUGGGAGCGGGCGAUAUCGUAUCAGCUAGUUGGUGCGGGUAACGGCCCACCAAGGCGACGACGCGUAGCCGGACUGAGAGGUUGGCCGGCCACAUCGGGACUGAGACACUGCCCGGACUCCUACGGGGGGCUGCAGUAACGAAUCUUCCCCAAUGCACGAAAGUGUGAGGGAGCGACGCCGCGUGUGGGACGAAGUCCUUCGGGAUGUAAACCACUGUCAGGGGAUACCAAGUUCUGAGGAUCCCCAGAGGAAGGGGCGGCUAACUCUGUGCCAGCAGCCGCGGUAAGACAGAGGCCCCAAGCGUUAGGCGGAAUCACUGGGCUUAAAGCGUGUGUAGGCGGACGCCUAAGUGUCUUGUGAAAUCCCACGGCUCACCCGUGGAACCGCUGGGCAUACUGGGCGUCUUGGGCCAUUCAGGGGCAACUGGAACAAGCGGUGGAGCGGUGAAAUG